rnacentral:rRNA from 1 species
UCAGUUGUGAAAGGUUGCGGCUCAACCGUAAAAUUGCAGUUGAUACUGGGUACCUUGAGUGCAGCAUAGGUAGGCGGAAUUCGUGGUGUAGCGGUGAAAUGCUUAGAUAUCACGAAGAACUCCGAUUGCGAAGGCAGCCUGCUAAGCUGCAACUGACAUUGAGGCUCGAAAGUGUGGGUAUCAAACAGGAUUAGAUACCCUGGUAGUCCACACGGUAAACGAUGAAUACUCGCUGUUUGCGAUAUACGGCAAGCGGCCAAGCGAAAGCGUUAAGUAUUCCACCUGGGGAGUACGCCGGCAACGGUGAAACUCAAAGGAAUUGACGGGGGCCCGCACAAGCGGAGGAACAUGUGGUUUAAUUCGAUGAUACGCGAGGAACCUUACCCGGGCUUAAAUUGCAGAUGAAUUACGGUGAAAGCCGUAAGCCGCAAGGCAUCUGUGAAGGUGCUGCAUGGUUGUCGUCAGCUCGUGCCGUGAGGUGUCGGCUUAAG